CCUACGGGUGGCAGCAGUGGGGAAUAUUGCACAAUGGGGGAAACCCUGAUGCAGCAACGCCGCGUGAGUGAAGAAGGUCUUCGGAUUGUAAAGCUCUGUUAGCAGGGAAGAGGAAGGACGGUACCUGCAGAGGAUGCCACGGCUAACUACGUGCCAGCAGCAGCGGUAAUACGCAGGUGGCAAGCGUUGUUCGGAAUGACUGGGCGUAAAGGAUGCGUAGGCGGUUAAAUAAGUUAUAUGUUAAAUAUAUAGGCUUAACCUGUAGAAAGCAUAUAAAAUUGUUUAGCUAGAGUGCAGGAGAGGUAAGUAGAAUUCCAAGUGUAGCGGUGAAAUGCGUAGAGAUGAGGAAGAACACCAGUGGCGAAGGCGACUUACUGGAC
rnacentral:rRNA from 1 species